rnacentral:rRNA from 1 species
UAGGGAAUCUUCCGCAAUGGACGAAAGUCUGACGGAGCAACGCCGCGUGAGUGAAGAAGGUUUUCGGAUCGUAAAGCUCUGUUGCCAGGGAAGAGAAGGCAGAUGUUAACUGCAUUUGCUUAGACGGUACCUGAGAAGAAAGCCCCGGCUAACUACGUGCCAGCAGCCGCGGUAAUACGUAGGGGGCAAGCGUUGUCCGGAAUUAUUGGGCGUAAAGGGCGCGCAGGCGGCCCAUUAAGUCUGGUGUUUAAACUCGGAGCUCAACUCCGAGUCGCACUGGAAACUGGUGAGCUUGAGUGCAGAAGAGGAGAGUGGAAUUCCACGUGUAGCGGUGAAAUGCGUAGAGAUGUGGAGGAACACCAGUGGCGAAGGCGACUCUCUGGUCUGUAACUGACGCUGAGGCGCGAAAGCGUGGGGAGCGAACAGGAUUAGAUACCCCCGUAGUCC